GAUGAAGAACGCAGUGAAAUGCGAUAAGUAGUGUGAAUUGCAGAAUUCAGUGAAUCAUCGAAUCUUUGAACGCACAUUGCGCCCGCUAGUAUUCUGGCGGGCAUGCCUGUUCGAGCGUCAUUUCAACCAUCAAGCCCUGUUUAGGCUUGUGUUGGGGCCCUGCGGUUGCCGCAGCCCCCUAAAUGCAGUGGCGGGCUCGUUGUCACUCCGAGCGCAGUAGCGUAUCUCGCUCUGGGCGUGGCGGCGGGUGCUAGCCGUGAAACACCCACUAAGGUUGACCUCGGAUCAGGUAGGAAUACCCGCUGAACUUAAGCAUAUCAAUAAGCGGAGGA
rnacentral:misc_RNA from 1 species